UGCCACUGCAGGGGGACACUGGGUCUCCCAGGGCGGCUCUGGUGUCUCUGGGGGCUCAGAAACUCCGUGAGCAGGAACAUCGCUCAGCCAGAUUCUCAGUCCUCACACAGAGCCCUCAGAAACAUCGUGGGACAUCAGGGCCAUGUUCAGAGACAGGGCAAGGCCCAGGUUCCGAGAGUGAACGGUAGAGAGAUGUCUUGUUUUUGAAGACUCUCAAGCGGGGAUGGCCCUGAAAUUCCAGCCCAUUAGGAUCUGAGGGGCCAAAAUCAAGAGCCUGCAAAGAUGAUUGCAACAGAAUCUUCAAGAACCUGGGAGCCUUAGAUGACAAAACAGCAAUGAACAUUCUUUGUCUGAUGCCAGAACAAUUGGGCUGUCUGAUGCUUCUCCCUCCCGUGACUCAGCUUGUGAUCCUUGGCUGGAACACCACAGAGACCUGAAAUCAGUCACUUCUCUAAAGAGAGUAGUUGCUGUUUAAAAACUGAGAACUGGAUGUCGAUGUGCUCAGUGCUCUUGUGAUGUUGCUGCUCCUGCACCUCUCCAUGGACAGAGGGGCAAGUGUCUACCCGCGUCUGCAUUUGUUCCUGGCUGUGUAUUGGAAGCUGUGAGU